rnacentral:rRNA from 1 species
GGAUUAGAUACCCUGGUAGUCCACGCCGUAAACGAUGUCUACUUGGAGGUUGUUCCCUUGAGGAGUGGCUUUCGGAGCUAACGCGUUAAGUAGACCGCCUGGGGAGUACGGUCGCAAGAUUAAAACUCAAAUGAAUUGACGGGGGCCCGCACAAGCGGUGGAGCAUGUGGUUUAAUUCGAUGCAACGCGAAGAACCUUACCUACUCUUGACAUCCAGAGAAGCCGGAAGAGAUUCUGGUGUGCCUUCGGGAGCUCUGAGACAGGUGCUGCAUGGCUGUCGUCAGCUCGUGCCG